UUCCCUGUGGCUCAGUUGGUAGAGCAUGGUGUUUGCAACGCCAGCAUGGUGUGUGCAACGCCAGGGUUGUGGGUUCGAUUCCCACGGGGGGGG
rfam:Salmo salar isolate Sally breed double haploid chromosome ssa27, whole genome shotgun sequence.